ACAUGCAAGUCGAACGCGAAAGGGACUUUCGGUCCUGAGUAAAGUGGCGCACGGGUGAGUAACGCGUGGAUAAUCUACCCAAUGAUCUGGGAUAACAUCUCGAAAGGGGUGCUAAUACCGGAUAAGACCACGGAGUCUCUGGGGCUCUGUGGUAAAAAGGUGGGGACCUUCGGGCCUACCGUCAUCGGAUGAGUCCGCGUACCAUUAGCUAGUUGGUGGGGUAAUGGCCCACCAAGGCAACGAUGGUUAGCUGGUCUGAGAGGAUGAUCAGCCACACUGGAACUGAGACACGGUCCAGACUCCUACGGGAGGCAGCAGUGGGGAAUUUUUGCGCAAUUGGGGGGAAACCCUGACGCAGCAACGCCGCGUGAGUGAUGAAGGCUUUCGGGUCGUAAAGCUCUGUCAGAAGGGAAGAAAUGUGGGUGGCUAAUAUCCAUACCACUUGACGGUACCUUCAAAGGAAGCACCGGCUAACUCCGUGCCAGCAGCCGCGGUAA
rnacentral:rRNA from 1 species